rnacentral:snoRNA from 1 species
CAGUAUGAAUAUUCUGUCUUGAUUCUGUGAUAAUCAGGGUAGGCUAAACAUUUGCUAUAUUAGAAACCAUGCAUGUGUCUCCGGACCUAGUUGUAUCCCCUAGGUCUGGUUUUUAGAAUGCUGGUGAUAAAC